rnacentral:rRNA from 1 species
UACGUAGGGCGCAAGCGUUUGUCCGGAAUUAUUGGGCGUAAAGAGCUCGUAGGCGGUCUGUCGCGUCCGUUGUGAAAACUCGAGGCUCAACCUCGGGCUUGCAGUGGAUACGGGCAGACUAGAGUGCGGUAGGGGAGACUGGAAUUCCUGGUGUAGCGGUGGAAUGCGCAGAUAUCAGGAGGAACACCGGUGGCGAAGGCGGAUCUCUGGGCCAUUACUGACGCUGAGGAGCGAAAGCGUGGGGAGCAAACAGG